GAUGAAGAACGUAGCGAAAUGCGAUACUUGGUGUGAAUUGCAGAAUCCCGUGAACCAUCGAGUCUUUGAACGCAAGUUGCGCCCGAAGCCAUUAGGCCGAGGGCACGCCUGCCUGGGCGUCACACGUCGUUGCCCCCCCAUCUACUCCUUCGGGAUUGCGGGGGGCGGAUGAUGGCCUCCCGUGCGCCUCGUCGCGCGGUUGGCAUAAAUGCCAAGUCCUCGGCGACGCACGCCACGACCAUCGGUGGUUGCGAAACCUCGGUUGCCCGUCGUGUGCGGUCGUCGCGCAUCGAGGGCUCGAAAAAAUUGCCGGGCUCCGGCUCGGCUUUCAACGCGACCCCAGGUCAGGCGGGGUUACCCGCUGAAUUUAAGCAUAUCAAUAAGCGGAGGA
rnacentral:misc_RNA from 1 species